AUUGUGAUUCCAGCUAGAUCACUGCGUGCGGAUGUAACAUCAAUCCGUCAGUCAGUCAGUCAGUCGGUCCAAACUGGAAUCUUCUCCGUUCUGGAUCGGCUGUGGUCUGCAGCACCACCUGCUCUGCUCUACCUCUCUCUCUCUCUCUCUCUCUCUCUCUCUCUCUCUCUGCUCUCCCUCCCUCCCUCAGCCCGCGGGAUCCGUGUUUUGCAUCGCUCCCCAAUUUGCAUUUAUUCCUCAGACUUUCCGUGCGGCGCUCCAGCCGUUCUUCUAGCGAGAGGUCGUACAACGGUGGCAGUAUCCACGCGGCCCGCGUUUACAGAACAAUACGCACAGUAGAACCCACUGGAACAUCUGAAUAAUGUUGCCGAAGCUUUCCGAAAGUACAAAUUGAGCGGUUUUUGGGUGUUUUUUUAAAAUCCAUUUGGAUCAAUCGCGUUUGGUUGCGCACCAGACGAGACACGUGCCUUCGAGGUAAACAGACAGCAGGACUGGACAGCCAGAUAGUAGCCUUGGUUAACGUUACAUUGUUUUUCUCCUGCGUUUUAAGCGUGCAUAAGCGGUUAUAACGCCACCAUAGUGGACGUAGACGUCGAGCGGAGGUUCAUUUUGUUUUCGUUUGUGCACCUUGGUUGAUAAUUGAGACGCAGUUGGACAUGUCGGAAGUACUACAAGACAAAAUGAGUCAUUAUGGAAAUGAGGAUGACGAGGGACACCUUUCCUUCACCUGUCGUCUCCAAGACACCAACAACUUCUUCAGCGGCUCGCAGGGGGGAAAACGCCCGCCCAAACUUGGACAGAUAGGCAGAAGCAAACGAGUUGUCGAGGACGAGAACGGUGUUGACGAGGCGCUAAAAAACGGGACAGAGAAAACACAGACAGAGGCUUAAACACAUCAACCCCCGGAAGGACAUAGAUUCUCAUUUUCUAUUUGAUCCAAAGACACUGUAUAUAAGCACUUUUACUCCAUGUGGCAGCAAGCACUUCCUGUCCCAUCUCCUCUCUCUCCCAGUCCUCAUGAUGAUCUCCUGAGACUUAUACUGGCAGGAUGGGGAAGCAGCCGAGAUGGAGACAGACAGAGAGAUGAAGACAGAGGUGGAGACAGAGAGAGUGAUGGAGACAGACAGAGAGAUGAAGACAGAGGUGGAGACAGAGAGAGUGAUGGAGACAGACAGAGAGAUGAAGACAGAGAGAGUGAUGGAGACAGACAGAGAGAUGAAGACAGAGGUGGAGACAGAGAGAGUGAUGGAGACAGACAGAGAGAUGAAGACAGAGGUGGAGACAGAGAGAGUGAUGGAGACAGACAGAGAGAUGAAGACAGAGGUGGAGACAGAGAGAGUGAUGGAGACAGACAGAGAGAUGAAGACAGAGGUGGAGACAGAGAGAUGAAGACAGAGGUGGAGACAGAGAGAGAGACAGAGAUGAAGAGAGAGGCGGAGAGAGAGAGACAGAGAUGAAGAGAGAGGCAGAGAGAGACGGAUGAAGAGAGAGGCGGAGACAGAGAGAGAGACAGAUACAGAGACAGAGAUAAAGAGAGAGGCAGAGACAGAGAUGAAGACAGAGAUAAAGAGAGAGGCGGAGACAGAGAGAGAGGCGGAGACAGAGAGAGAGGCGGAGACAGAGAGAGGCGGAGACAGAGAUAAAGACAGAGACAGAGAUAAAGAGAGAGGCAGAGACAGAGAUGAAGACAGAGACAGAGAUGAAGAGAGAGAUAAAGAGAGAGGCGGAGACAGAGAGAGAGGCGGAGACAGAGAGAGAGGCGGAGACAGAGAGAGGCGGAGACAGAGACAGAGAUAAAGACAGAGACAGAGAUAAAGACAGAGAUAAAGAGAGAGGCAGAGACAGAGAUGAAGACAGAGACAGAGAUGAAGAGAGAGAUAAAGAGAGAGGCGGAGACAGAGAGAGAGGCGGAGACAGAGAGAGGCGGAGACAGAGAUAAAGACAGAGAUAAAGAGAGAGGCAGAGACAGAGAUGAAGACAGAGACAGAGAUGAAGAGAGAGACAGAGAUGAAGACAGAGAUGAAGAGAGAGACAGAGAUGAAGAGAGAGACAGAGAUGAAGAGAGCGACAGAGAUGAAGAGAGAGGCGGAGACAGAGGCCCAGGUGAAAUAGGUGAAUUCUAUCAUCCAGGGUUUAGGCCCACAGAACUCUUCUAAAACAGGAAUGGCCUAAGAGAGCUACUGGGUGAGCAGCAGGCUUUUGCUCCAGCCCUACACUUUUUUUACACUAGUCAACCAUUGGUCGUACAAUCAAAACUCCUAAGCAGGCAGCCAACAAAUGUAGCCGUGUAGAAAGGGUCUUUCACACACCAGAUUCAGCCAAUCAAGUUCCUGGGUAGCAGGUGAUUAGUAGAAUCAGGUGUGUUUACAGUAUGUUUGGAGCAGCUAAACCAUGUAACCAGGAGAGGAUGAUGAAGGAGGAAGAGGAUGAAUCUAAGGUUCCAGCGGUAGAAAGAGACGAUGCUUUCGAACCCUCACAGAAAUCAGGGAAGGAACAGUAUAAAAACAGUAUAAAUGAUCUACUUAACUAAAGCACACAUUGUUAUAUCAAUCAAACCGUAUGAUAUUACAUAACCAUUCUUUCUGCUCUUGAUUCUUAUGACGACGAGUGCAAACAAAUAAUAUAGGAAACGUGUAAAUAAGAAAUGGUAGCCCCACGUUUUGUUAGCCUGGACACCAGUCUGUUCCUGCUGUCUUGUCAACUCCUUAUGGAAUUGUCAUGUUUGGCGUCAGAAUGAGUGAUAAAGAGUUGGCAAGACAGCACAAAUAGAUCUGGAAACCAGGCUAGCGUUUUGUUGCACAGAGGAGAAAAGAAGCGUGAAAUGGUUUGUUGUAAUCUAACAUAACGUGUGUGUGUAAAGAUACCUUAUUUAUUGACCCUUUGGAUACGUAUUUUCCAGUGCUCAAGGCCUGACUGAGGGACAGUUUUGUAUGUAGAGAAUUGCGAUGACAGAAUGAAUGAAAGCGAUUUCCCCUUUUUUACUUCUUAUGAAUUUUUAUGUCGCCUGAUCAGUUUUUGCAGCUAUAGAGUCAUUUAUAUACGUUAUACAGGACUGUACAUCACAUGUUUGUAAUGUUCCAAGAGGCUUAAGUCUGGAUCGUUAAAUACAACUGUACACCCUCCCCUAUUGAUAAACUAUUUCUAUUGCAUUGCGCAUUAUCGUGUGUGCCAAAUAUCAUGAGGGAUAAGCAGACCACUUGGUUGUUUAUGUUGUGCUUUCUAUACCGUUAUAAAUGUAGACAUUUUGUUCUUCUUCGGUUGUUGCCAUUGUUCAGGGCUAUUUCUUACCACUGAAUUACCAACGCAUGCAUGGCAGAAAUGGGUGGAUGCAUGGCAGAAAUGGGUUGAUGCAUGGCAGAAAUGGGUUGAUGCAUGGCAGAAAUGGAUUGAUGCAUGGCAACGUUCUAAAGAUGAUCUUAGUGUAUUCUGGAACACCUGGUACCCAGCUUUGAACGACUAACCUCCAGAACCAUCUUAAUACUACAUACCUUGUACUGUACUGUACUGUACUAUGAUCUUACUGAUUUGUACUGUAGCCUAAUAUCUUGUAAUAAAGAUUCUGAAGAAGAUAAUUAAGAAGUG
rnacentral:lncRNA from 1 species